rnacentral:rRNA from 1 species
UACGGAGGGAGCAAGCGUUGUUCGGAUUUACUGGGCGUAAAGGGCGCGUAGGCGGCGCAACAAGUCACUUGUGAAAUCUCCGGGCUUAACCCGGAGCGGCCAAGUGAUACUGUCGUGCUAGAGUGCGGAAGGGGCUACUGGAAUUCUCGGUGUAGCGGUGAAAUGCGUAGAUAUUGGGAAGAGCACCAGUGGCGAAAGCGGACUUCUGGGUUGUUACUGACGCUGAGGUACGAAAGCGUGGGGAGCAAACGGG